UCAAUCGGAGCGUUCUCAGCAUCAGCAACAAUCACAGCAACCUGCAGGCGGUGUCGGUGCAGGCCAAUUACAAUAUUCUAAUCCUUACCAAACAGCUCCGAUGGUGGCUUCCGGAACUCCUGCUAUUACGAUUCCCCCAACUCAACCACCAUCCAGUUUCUCCAAUUCUCCACACCAGCUUGCCUACCAGCAGGCUCAACACUUCCACCACCAGCAACAGCAGCAGCAACAACAACAGCUCCAAAUGUUUUGGGCAAACCAAAUGCAAGAGAUUGAACAAACAACUGACUUUAAGAACCAUAGUCUCCCUCUUGCUCGAAUCAA
rnacentral:lncRNA from 1 species